rnacentral:lncRNA from 10 species
CUUUAGGACACACCCUGCCAUGGCACAGGUGUCUCUGCUGGGCUCUGAGGGACAGAAAAGACUCAGUCCCUAUUCCUACCUCACCUCCUUCCCUGUAACCCAGCCUGUGCAUCAUGAACAAUGAGCUCUUCUUUACUCAGGACCGGAGGCAGGCUGAAGUGAACUGCACAGGCUUUGUAGAACAUCUUUUUCAGUGGGGAUCUGUGGAGUGGACAUCCUUCCAAAUGCUUAACCACCGCAGCCUCAUGAGGGGAGAGAAAAGCCACACAGAGCAACCCAGGCAGGGCCAAGAGCCCAGAGCCAGAACAGCUGUGCAUCCAGCCCAGCUCUGCUCACAGUCCCUCCACCCCUCCCAGAGGAGCCACCACCCCCAACCCAGUGGCACAUGGUCUAGGAAGAAACUAGAGCCUCCCCUGCUGGGGAUGGAGUGAGAGAGAAUGAGUGGGGUAAAAGGUUAGAGAGGCAUGAAUAGGAUCUCCUAGCCCCGUAAACAACCAAUUGAACAGGGAUAGAAGCUGUGGUUUUCAUUGAGGGAAGAUGUCAACAGGUGCACUAAAGACCCACCUGAACCUUUUGCAAAGUUACUCCCCUUUUAUCAAAGAUAGUGUAUUAGUCCGUUUUCACACUGCUAUAAAGAAACGCCCGAGACUGGGCAUAUUAGUUCAUUCUUAUGCUGCUAUGGAAUACCUGAGACUGGGUAAUUUAUAAAGGAAAGAAGUUUAAUUCACUCACAAUUCUGCACGGCUGGGGAGGCCUCAGGAAACUUACAAUCACGGCAGAAGACACCUCUUCAAAGGGUGGCAGGGGAGAAAAUGAGUGCCUAAUGAAAGAGGAAGCCUUUUAUAAAACCAUCAGAUCUUGUGAGAACUAGCUCACUAUCAUGAGAACAUGAUGGGGAAACCACCCCCAUGAUUUAAUUAUCUCCACCUGGUCCUUCCCAUGACACGCAGUGAUUAUGGAAACUACAAGAUGAGAUUUGGGUGGGGACACAGCCAAACUAUAUGACUGGGUAAUUUUUAAAGGAAAGAGGUUUAAUUGACUCACAGUUCUGCAUGGGUGGGGAAGCCUCAGGAAACUUACAAUCAUGGUGGAAGGCAAGGGGGAAGCAAGAUUUGGCCUUCGCACAAGGCAGCAAGAGAGAAAAGAGUGCAAGCGGGGGAAAUGCCAGACGCUUGUAAAACCAUCAGAUCUCAUGAGAGCCCACUCACUAUCACAAGAACAGCAUGGGGGAAACUGCCCCCACAAUCCAAUCACUUCCCACCAGGUCGCUCCAUAAACACCUGGGGAUUAUAAUUCAAGAUGAGAUCUGGGUGGGCACACAAAGCCUAACCAUAUCAGAUAGCUUUUCUUUGCAAAAACAAAUGCUAAAAUAGAAAACAUAGAAAAACACAAACUAAAAGCACCAUGCAGAGAUAAUCACUGUUAA